rnacentral:rRNA from 1 species
GACGAACGCUGGCGGCGUGCUUAACACAUGCAAGUCGAACGGAAAGGCCCUGCUUUUGUGGGGUGCUCGAGUGGCGAACGGGUGAGUAACACGUGAGUAACCUGCCCUUGACUUUGGGAUAACUUCAGGAAACUGGGGCUAAUACCGGAUAGGAGCUCCUGCUGCAUGGUGGGGGUUGGAAAGUUUCGGCGGUUGGGGAUGGACUCGCGGCUUAUCAGCUUGUUGGUGGGGUAGUGGCUUACCAAGGCUUUGACGGGUAGCCGGCCUGAGAGGGUGACCGGCCACAUUGGGACUGAGAUACGGCCCAGACUCCUACGGGAGGCAGCAGUGGGGAAUAUUGCACAAUGGGCGGAAGCCUGAUGCAGCAACGCCGCGUGAGGGAUGACGGCAUUCGGGUUGUAAACCGCUUUCGCCUGUGACGAAGCGUGAGUGACGGUAAUGGGUAAAGAAGCACCGGCUAACUACGUG